GAUGAACGCUAGCGGCGGGCCUAAUACAUGCAAGUUGAACGGGAUUCAGAGUGCUUGCACUUUGAUGAGAGUGGCGCACGGGUGCGUAACACGUAUACAAUCUGCCUCUAACUGGAAGAUAGCCCCGAGAAAUCGGGAUUAAUAUUCCAUAAAAUAGUAAUAAGGCAUCUUAUAAUUAUUAAAGCUUCGGCGGUUAGAGAUGAGUAUGCGGAACAUUAGCUAGAUGGUAAGGUAACGGCUUACCAUGGCUACGAUGUUUAGGGGGCCUGAGAGGGUUAUCCCCCGCACUGGUACUGAGACACGGACCAGACUCCUACGGGAGGCAGCAGUAGGGAAUAUUGGGCAAUGGACGAAAGUCUGACCCAGCCACGCCGCGUGCAGGAUGACUGCCCUAUGGGUUGUAAACUGCUUUUAUAUAGGAAGAAACCCUACCACGUGUGGUAGGCUGACGGUACUAUAAGAAUAAGGAUCGGCUAACUCCGUGCCAGCAGCCGCGGUAAUACGGAGGAUCCAAGCGUUGUCCGGAUUUAUUGGGUUUAAAGGGUGCGUAGGCGGACUUUUAAGUCAGAGGUGAAAGCUCGUAGCUUAACUAUGAAAUUGCCU
rnacentral:rRNA from 1 species